UGUAUCAGUGAUGAUCACUUGGCUCCCUCUACUGAUACCCAGUGAGGAUAACAGCCAUCGUUACCCAAUUAGAACUGAGAUACA